GCGGGAUUCCUGUCAGCUUUUGUUUGAUGCCUAAACAGUAGACACUGGUUAUAGUUCCUCAUUUACUUCUCCGAAGUUAAGGGGCAGUCCGCUUUUUCCUAGCUCUUUUUUCCUUUUAGAGACAGGGUCUCGCUGUGUCACCCAGACUGGAGUGCAGUGGUAGUCUCGGCUCACUGCAGCCUCCGCCUUCCGGGCUCAGGCGAUCCUCCCUUCUCUGCCUCCCGGGUAGCUGGGACCGCAGGCGCGCGCCUUUGCGCUCCGCUUUUUGGUUUUGGGUAGGAACGGGGUUUCGCUCUGUUGCCUCGGGUGGUCUAGCUCCUCGCUGUGGCGGUCCCCGCCUUCCGGAAGUAAAGGUGCAGAACCGACGCGCCCUGUGGCGUGGGCUUCACCUUGGACUAUGUUCUCCUCGCGGCUCGGUCGGCGCCGCCUCCCGUGUGAGGAGCUGACGCCUGGAACUCUGCAAACCCAUCCCGCGUGACACCCGCGUCGCAGCUGCCCGCACCCCCUCGGAGGCAGCGCACUCCUCCCUGGCCACGGGUGGCCGAAGCCCCACCAGCCUCCAGGUCAGAUGUCCUUUCUCCUUCUCCUGCCGCGGGGUUCCCCGCGGUGGGGGGCGGGAUCCAGCAUUCUCGGCUCUUCCUUGCCACUUCUCCGGCAUAAUGGAGAAUUCCUUCUGCUUUAGGGAAAUGACUUGAAAGUUGCUCAGUUGGAGUCACGUGUGACUAAACACACAUUUGGUUUAUCCCAGAAAUAGAUGAAAUUCUCAGGAGGAUUCUUUUCAAUCUCAUAGAUCGUGGGGAUUUCUAAAGAUUUCCCUGUGUUCAGACUUCAAACUACCCUAGGGUCGCAUCACCAUCGUGGACAGAUACAGAACCUCGGGCAGAUUGUGGAGCGGGGCUGUCCCCCGGGCCGUAUGCCGGUUCCUCAGAGGCUGCUGGGCAGGACUCUGCUGCUUCAACAAACUUACCUGGCUACCACCACCCGCUCACCCUUGAAUGCCUUCCUGGGCGAAGCCACGAACCCUCCAGGGUUAAGCCCCAAUUUUGGGGCUCACCUGCCCUGCGUCAGAUGGAUACUUAGCUUGUAAAGAAACUGGUAGCUGUCCAAAGUGCUAGGAAAAAGGAAAAUUCAUUAAACAAAAUCAUUGUCAUAAU